AACGCACAUUGCGCCCUUUGGUAUUCCAAAGGGCAUGCCUGUUCGAGCGUCAUUUGUACCCUCAAGCUUUGCUUGGUGUUGGGCGUUGUUUGUCUUUGGCCUUGCCCAAAGACUCGCCUUAAAACAAUUGGCAGCCGGCCUACUGGUUUCGCAGCGCAGCACAUUUUUGCGCUUGCAAUCAGCAAAAGAGGUUGGCCAUCCAUCAAGACUACAUUUAUACGUUUGACCUCGGAUCAGGUAGGGAUACCCGCUGAACUUAA
rnacentral:misc_RNA from 2 species